AUUCCUACGGGAGGCAGCAGUGGGGAAUCUUGGACAAUGGGGGCAACCCUGAUCCAGCCAUGCCGCGUGAGUGAUGAAGGCCCUAGGGUCGUAAAGCUCUUUCGCCAGGGAUGAUAAUGACAGUACCUGGUAAAGAAACCCCGGCUAACUCCGUGCCAGCAGCCGCGGUAAUACGGAGGGGGUUAGCGUUGUUCGGAAUUACUGGGCGUAAAGCGCGCGUAGGCGGACUGGAAAGUUGGGGGUGAAAUCCCAGGGCUCAACCCUGGAACUGCCUCCAAAACUAUCAGUCUAGAGUUCGAGAGAGGUGAGUGGAAUUCCGAGUGUAGAGGUGAAAUUCGUAGAUAUUCGGAGGAACACCAGUGGCGAAGGCGGCUCACUGGCUCGAUACUGACGCUGAGGUGCGAAAGUGUGGGGAGCAAACAGGAUUAGAUACCCUGGUAGUCCACACCGUAAACGAUGAAUGCCAGUCGUCGGGUAGCAUGCUAUUCGGUGACACACCUAACGGAUUAAGCAUUCCGCCUGGGGAGUACGGUCGCAAGAUUAAAACUCAAAGGAAUUGACGGAU
rnacentral:rRNA from 1 species